rnacentral:rRNA from 1 species
UACGGAAGGUCCGGGCGUUAUCCGGAUUUAUUGGGGUUAAAGGGAGCGUAGGCCGGUCUUUAAGCGUGCCGUGAAAUUUUGUGGCUCAACCAUGAGAGUGCGGCGCGAACUGGAGACCUUGAGUGCGCGGAAGGCAGGCGGAAUUCGUGGUGUAGCGGUGAAAUGCUUAGAUAUCACGAAGAACCCCGAUUGCGAAGGCAGCUUACAAAUCUAUAUCGGACGCUGAGGCACGAAAGCGUGGGGAGCAAACAGG